rnacentral:misc_RNA from 1 species
AACUUUCAAAAACGGAUCACUUGGCUCUCGCAUCGAUGAAGAACGCAGCGAAAUGCGAUAAGUAAUGUGAAUUGCAGAUUUUCAGUGAAUCAUCGAAUCUUUGAACGCACCUUGCGCUCCUUGGUAUUCCGAGGAGCAUGCCUGUUUGAGUGUCAUUAAAUUCUCAACUCCGAUUCGAUUUGUUUCGACCUCGGAGCUUGGACUUUGGAGCGUGCUGGCGUCGGUCGGCUCCUCUCAAAUGCAUCAGCGGAAUCUAACGUUUCGGACGUCAGUGUGAUAAUCACGUUGCGCUGUCGACCGAUCCUGAAAGCCCGCUCAUAAUGGUCUUCGGACAACUUCAUAUCAAAUUUGACCUCAAAUCAGGUAGGACUACCCGCUGAACUUAAGCAUAUCAAUAAGCGGAGGCU